rnacentral:rRNA from 1 species
CGGGAAACUGGGUAUAAUACCCGAUAGGUCUCGAUUGCUGGAAUGCAUCGAGAUUUAAAGCUCCGGCGCCUAAGGAUGGGUCUGCGGCCUAUCAGGUAGUAGUGGGUGUAGCGUACCUACUAGCCUACGACGGGUACGGGUUGUGAGAGCAAGAGCCCGGAGAUGGAUUCUGAGACACGAAUCCAGGCCCUACGGGGUGCAGCAGGCGCGAAAACUUUACAAUGCUGGCAACAGCGAUAAGGGAACCUCGAGUGCCAGGUUACAAAUCUGGCUGUCGAGAUGCCUAAAAAGCAUUUCAUAGCAAGGGCCGGGCAAGACCGGUGCCAGCCGCCGCGGUAACACCGGCGGCUCGAGUGGUAACCGUUAUUAUUGGGUCUAAAGGGUCUGUAGCCGGCCGGAUAAGUCUCUUGAGAAAUCUGGCAGCUUAACUGUCAGGCUUUCAGGAGAUACUGUCUGGCUCGAGGCCGGGAGAGGUGAGAGGUACUUCAGGGGUAGGGGUGAAAUCUUGUAAUCCUUGAAGGACCACCAGUGGCGAAGGCGUCUCACCAGAACGGACCUGACGGCAAGGGACGAAAGCUAGGGGCACGAACCGGAUUAGAUACCCGGGUAGUCCUAGCCGUAAACGAUACUCGCUAGGUGUCGGCCACGGUGCGACCGUUGUCGGUGCCGUAGGGAAGCCGUGAAGCGAGCCACCUGGGAAGUACGGCCGCAAGGCUGAAACUUAAAGGAAUUGGCGGGGGAGCACCACAACGGGUGGAGCUUG